AUUGAACGCUGGCGGCAGGCUUAACACAUGCAAGUCGAGCGGAGAUGAGGUGCUUGCACCUUAUCUUAGCGGCGGACGGGUGAGUAAUGCUUAGGAAUCUGCCUAUUAGUGGGGGACAACAUUCCGAAAGGAAUGCUAAUACCGCAUACGCCCUACGGGGGAAAGCAGGGGAUCUUCGGACCUUGCGCUAAUAGAUGAGCCUAAGUCGGAUUAGCUAGUUGGGGGGGUAAAGGCCUACCAAGGCGACGAUCUGUAGCGGGUCUGAGAGGAUGAUCCGCCACACUGGGACUGAGACACGGCCCAGACUCCUACGGGAGGCAGCAGUGGGGAAUAUUGGACAAUGGGCGGAAGCCUGAUCCAGCCAUGCCACGUGUGUGAAGAAGGCCUUUUGGUUGUAAAGCACUUUAAGCGAGGAGGAGGCUACCUGGAUUAAUACUCUAGGAUAGCGGACGUUACUCGCAGAAUAAGCACCGGCUAACUCUGUGCCAGCCGCCGCGGUAAGAC
rnacentral:rRNA from 1 species